rnacentral:rRNA from 1 species
CAGAACGAACGCUGGCGGCAGGCCUAACACAUGCAAGUCGAGCGAGACCGUUCGGGUCUAGCGGCGGACGGGUGAGUAACGCGUGGGAACGUGCCCUUUGGUACGGAAUAGCCCCGGGAAACUGGGAGUAAUACCGUAUAAGCUCUUCGGAGGAAAGAUUUAUCGCCAAAGGAUCGGCCCGCGUUGGAUUAGGUAGUUGGUGGGGUAAUGGCCUACCAAGCCGACGAUCCAUAGCUGGUUUGAGAGGAUGAUCAGCCACACUGGGACUGAGACACGGCCCAGACUCCUACGGGAGGCAGCAGUGGGGAAUCUUAGACAAUGGGCGCAAGCCUGAUCUAGCCAUGCCGCGUGAGCGAUGAAGGCCUUAGGGUUGUAAAGCUCUUUCAGUGGGGAAGAUAAUGACUGUACCCACAGAAGAAGCCCCGGCUAACUCCGUG